rfam:Salmo salar isolate Sally breed double haploid chromosome ssa27, whole genome shotgun sequence.
UAGCUCAGUUGGUAGAGCAUGGUGUUUGCAACGCCAGGGUUGUGGGUUCGAUUUCCAC